GCUGUCCCUAGUACGAGAGGACCGGGACGGACGAACCUCUGGUGUGCCAGUUGUCCUGCCAAGGGCAUGGCUGGUUGGCUACGUUCGGAAAGGAUAACCGCUGAAAGCAUCUAAGCGGGAAGCCUGCUUCGAGAUGAGUAUUCCCACCAACUUGAUUGGUUAAGGCUCCCAGUAGACGACUGGGUUGAUAGGCCAGAUGUGGAAGCCCGGUAACGGGUGGAGCUGACUGGUACUAAUAGGCCGAGGGCUUGUCCUCAGUUG
rnacentral:rRNA from 1 species